GAUGAACGCUGGCGGCGUGCCUAAUACAUGCAAGUCGAGCGCACAAGCUUGGUGCUUGUACCUAUUGCGUGAGCAGCGAACGGGUGAGUAACGCGUGGGGAAUCUGCCUAUGAGAGGGGGAUAACAUCUGGAAACGAAUGCUAAUACCGCAUAAAAACUUUAACCACAUGUUUUAAGUUUGAAAGAUGCCAUUGCUUUACUCAAUGAUGGUACCUCGUUGUAUUUGCUGAGUGGUUAGGUAAACGCUCACCCAAGCGAUGGUUACUUACCGACCUUAGAGGGUGGUUGGCCAAAAUGGGAAUGAGGCACGGCCCAAACUCCUACGGGAAGCAGCAGUAGGGAAACGUCGGCAAUUGACGAAAGUCUUGCCGGGCAACGCCGCGUGAGUGGAGAAGGUUUUCGGGUCGGAAAACUCUGGUGAUAAGGGAGAACGUAGGGUGUAGUUAAAAGCUCAUCAAUUGACGGUAACUACUCAGAAAGCGACGGCUAACUACGUG
rnacentral:rRNA from 1 species